rnacentral:rRNA from 1 species
GACGAACGCUGGCGGCGUGCUUAACACAUGCAAGUCGAACGGAAAGGCCCUGCUUUUGUGGGGUGCUCGAGUGGCGAACGGGUGAGUAAAACGUGAGUAACCUGCCCUUGACUUUGGGAUAACUUCAGGAAACAGGGGCUAAUACCGGAUAGGAGAUCCUGCUGCAUGGGGGGGGUUGGAAAGUUUCGGCGGUUGGGGCUGGACUCGAGGGUUAUCAGCUUGUUGGUGGGGUAGUGGCUUACCAAGGCUUUGAAGGGUAGGCGGCCUGGGAGGGUGACCGGCCACAAUGGUACUGCGGUACGGCGCAGACUCCUACGUGACGCAGCAGGGGGGAAUAUUGCACAAUGGGCGGAAGCCUGAUGCAGCAACGCCGCGUGCGGGAUGACGGCCUUUGGGUUGUAAACCGCUUUCGCCGGUGACGAAGCGGGAGUGACGGUAAUGGGUAAAGAAGCCCCGGCUAACUACGUG